rnacentral:lncRNA from 1 species
GGAAAGUGAAGAGCUUCCUUUAGCCCAAAUAUGGAGGGCUGAGGUGACAUUCGGAAAUACGUCGACCCGACUUUAACCUACGAGCUCGAUUCGUUGUUCAGGGGUGAGCUCGGCUCCGCCCAGGAGCUCGUGGCUCGUUGUUUUUUCUUUCCCUCUUUUUUUUCGGUGUAAAUUUGCACAUUUUUGAACUUUGGCUCAUGGGCACACGGCACACGAGCCGCUCACGGGCUCAGCCCAUGGGAUUGAGUCCCUUGCUCGGCUCGAGCUCGAGCUCGUUAUUUGACGAGCCCGAGCCGAGCGAUCGAGCCGCUCGACCUGCCCAAGCUCAAGUCGAGUGGUCUAACCGACGAGCCACUCGACUCGUUUGACAUCCUUAAUUAGAGCUGCCAUCUCAUGCAUUAGGUUAUGCUUAUCAUUUACAAUAUAUAUUGAAAAGUUUAACCAAUGCAUGAUGUGGGAGCAACUCCUUUGGCUUGAUUCCAUCACUCUUUCGGGAUAGGGAGCUCUCAGUUCCAUUCCUAGUGAUCACUCAACACAUUUUUUUUCCUUUUUUCUUGUUUUUUUGGUUAUAAUGAAAUUGUAUUUAAAAGUUUGCAGAAUGUUGAGAAGAAAAAUAGCAGAAGGGAUUUCUUCACCGAAGGCAGAAGCUCGGAAAAUUAAUGAAAUUUUACACCGUGCAAGAGAAUGAAAUUGUGCCUUGUGUUAUUCAUUAAUGUGAUUGAUGCAACAUGAAAGACGAAAGAUUCAAUGCACUCUAAAUAUCUGUCGAUUUUAUGAAUAUGGAAUGAUUGGAUGUCUAAGAUUCAACGCACUCCCAUCAUAUAAGUUAGAAGAACCGUGCUAGCUGUACAGGCC